rnacentral:rRNA from 1 species
UACAGAGGUCCCAACCGUUGUUCGGAUUCAUUGGGCGUAAAGGGUGCGUAGGCGGUCGCGCAAGUCGGUUGUGAAAUCUCUGGGCUUAACCCAGAAAGGUCAACCGAUACUGCGGGGCUAGAGUGCAGAAGGGGCAACUGGAAUUCUCGGUGUAGCGGUGAAAUGCGUAGAUAUCGAGAGGAACACCUGCGGCGAAGGCGGGUUGCUGGGCUGACACUGACGCUGAAGCGCGAAAGCUAGGGGAGCGAACGGG